AAGAUGGCCGCCGUAUGUUAUUGCCGAGAUGUUUACAUACGUGUAUCAGAUAUUAUUAAAAGUUAUCAAAGUUAAGUAAAUUUUUAUCAAUAGGAUUUCGAGGACUCAGAGAAUGUUAACAUUAUUGACUGUCAAUGUAAGACUUUUAAUCGAUGGCCUAAAUAUCUGAGCUUAGCUCCAUAAUGCACAACAUUAAAUUCACGAUCUUAUUAUUAUACAGAUGCUUUAUAAACAUGUAUAUUUACAAUACAGUAUCACAUAUAUAUUGCCAUAAAACUCAUCUUUUUUUCUUGGUUAACUUUUAUCAGUUACGCGAACUUUAGAAGAUUUUUGUUAGUCAUUUAUUUGACUCGCAUCGUAUUGCGUGAUAUCAGACUGAAGUUAGCAGCAUCUUCGAAUAUUAUGUCGUCAUUAACGAAAAGUAACAGUGAAUGAUGGAUCGGUUUUGUAACGAGUGGCGUCGCAAAUUUAAUAAUUGGCAGGUAUUGAUUUAAGUGGCACGAAGCAAAAGAGGAGAGAGAUCAGGAAGACAUCAGAUAAUGAUGGAACAAUCGCAAAGAUGCGGCAACAGCGACAUUCACACCUGGUAUCGGUAAGUUAAUUUCAUGUACAGUUCUACUGUUCCUCGGCGCUUUAGUAAUAUUUUAAUUGCAUCACAAUUAUUAUAAUCAAGUUUUUUAUGUGGAUUAUUUAGUAUAAACAGACUCCGCAUUUUAUGCCUUGAGUAAAUUUUCUAAUAAUUUUGCAUAAAUACUUAUUAAUGAUUU